CCUUGAGUAGGGGGAGGGAAGUGCAGCAGAGACAAGUUCCUAAGUGCAAGUGUCUUGAGACAGGAAGAGGCUCCCUGAAGAACUGAAGGAAGUCCUUUCCUUGUGGCUGGCACAGAGAUGCAGAGUGGCCUGGAAUUCUCUGGGGAAAAGAAACCCAAGCAGAGGUAUUGUUUCUAUGGUUCAGAGUCAUCCGGUUUUACCGACGACUAGCAGCCUGCCCCAACUGGCUAAAUACAUGCCAACAACGGACUGCUGAGACAGCACUGUGUGCCAGGACAAGGACAGGAUAAGGCCAGACGUCCUCAGCCUCUCCAAGGACUUUUUGUUUGGACGAACGGAGGCAAGAUGGUGCACUUCCGGGUUCUUCUUCACCACCAACUCUUCCCGCGCGCGAAAAUGCAGCCGGCGCCUGGG
rnacentral:lncRNA from 1 species